rnacentral:lncRNA from 10 species
ACGCGCCGCCGCCUGGAGCCCGGGAGCUGCGCACCGCGUGCGAGCGCGGCCGGGACCGACGGGUGACGCGGCGGGAGGAGACGCGGCGGGAGGAGGCGAAGCUGGCGACGCCAAAGGGAGCCCAGAGCUACGCCCAGGGGACCAAACGACGGUGCCAUGGGAGGCUCUUCAACCUGUGAGCCAAACAUUUGACCUUGGACGACAGCAAAGUUUAGCCACAGAUUAUCCUUGUAGAGCUGCAAGACCUCAAGAAAGCCGGGUAACUCGAGAGUAUGACCCAGAUGAAUUCGGGAGAUGGAUGAAUGCUGUCGUCGAUGGGGGCGGGCUUUAGGCAUCUCACAUGUUGCAUGCUACGGUGGACCUCUGAGCUUUUUGCUGCCCCCUUAGAUUGGGAAAGGAAUAUAAGAGGAAAGAGAGACUGCCUGAUGAUUUCUGUCGUCAAGCCCUAAAGCCUAACAGAUAACAGUGGCAAACGACACGUGGGUUCCAGAAUACCAGUGAUGUUCAUGUGCAUUUCUGAGUGCGUAGCCUCACUAGUGUGUGUGUGUGUGUGUGUGUGUGGCAGUCUCACACACAGUGUCAC